rnacentral:lncRNA from 1 species
AGAAAAGCGUCUUCUAAUAAAUCAUGCUAAUGAAAAUAACGUAACUGGGUUUUUUUUUUUUUUUAUUGAAACUUGAUGUAAACUAAAUUCAGCUCAAAUCGAGUUGUAUAUGGCAGCGAUAAUGACAGUUAAUAAUUACUAUAGAACAGGGUGGUAGAAUAACACGCGCGCGCCCGCGCUCACUUUGUAAUCCAAUCUGCGACGUUUCCUAAAGGCCUCCCGUCCCAGCAGAGAUGCGCCUGGUACGUUUUGAAAAAUCUCAUAGAGACAGGAGGAAAAACAGCGUAAGACGCGAUGCAUCACAGAAAAGAACGUGGGAGGGUCGCAGCAAACCAGAGCCUUAACCGGCAACACAAGGCGCAUGGCCAAAGAGGGAGGGGACACACCCUAGACGGGACACCAGUCCACUGCAAGGAACCCCAAGUAGGGCUCAAACCCCAGAUCUGCCACACAGCAGGCAGAGGCCAGACUUGCCGUGCCACUGCACACACACAAGGACAUACACACACACACAAUGUCUAAAACCGCUUGUCCUGAGCGGGGUCACAGUGAACCGGAGUCUAACCGGCUCAAGGCUGAAGGGGGGGGGAUGCACCCCAGACAGGACGCCAGUCCGUCGCAAGGCGACUCGAACCCGAGACCCACCCUGUGCCACCACACCCCCCCCCCCCCCCCCCAAUACAUUGACA